rnacentral:misc_RNA from 1 species
AAUCCGAGAAUUUCACCUCCAACAACGAAAUACGAAUGCCCCCAACUGUCCCUAUUAAUCAUUACUUCGGUUCCAGAAACCAACGGAAAAUAGAACCAAAGUCCUAUUCCAUUAUUCCAUGCUUAUGUAUCCAAGCACAAGCCUGCUUUGAACACUCUAAUUUUUUCAAAGUAAACGUCGCGUAUCCAACGCACACUCAGUUAAGAGCACGCGAAGUCUGCGCGAAGAAGGCCAACGCCGACAGUGACAUACCUUGCGGCUGACCGUCGUCGUCGAGCCCGAAAUCCAACUACGAGCUUUUUAACUGCAACAACUUUACAAUACGCUAUUGGAGCUGGAAUUACCGC